rnacentral:rRNA from 1 species
UACGUAGGGUGCGAGCGUUAAUCGGAAUACUGGGCGUAAAGCGUGCGCAGGCGGUGAUGUAAGACAGGUGUGAAAUCCCCGGGCUUAACCUGGGAACUGCAUUUGUGACUGCAUCGCUGGAGUGCGGCAGAGGGGGAUGGAAUUCCGCGUGUAGCAGUGAAAUGCGUAGAUAUGCGGAGGAACACCGAUGGCGAAGGCAAUCCCCUGGGCCUGCACUGACGCUCAUGCACGAAAGCGUGGGGAGCGAAACAACGG